rnacentral:rRNA from 1 species
GAUGAACGCUAGCGGCAGGCCUAAUACAUGCAAGUCGAACGGUGUCUUCGGACAUAGUGGCGCACGGGUGCGUAACACGUAUGCAACCUACCUUACAUUGGGGGAUAGCCUUUCGAAAGGGAGAUUAAUACCGCAUAAGACAGUAACUGGGCAUCCAGUAGCUGUUAAAGAUUUAUCGAUGUAAGAUGGGCAUGCGACCAAUUAGUUAGUUGGCGAGGUAAUGGCUCACCAAGACUAUGAUUGGUAGGGGAACUGAGAGGUCAAUCCCCCACACUGGCACUGAGAUACGGGCCAGACUCCUACGGGAGGCAGCAGUAGGGAAUAUUGGGCAAUGGACGCAAGUCUGACCCAGCCAUGCCGCGUGCAGGAUGAAGGCGUUAUACGUCGUAAACUGCUUUUAUACAGGAAGAAACGACUCUUGCGAGAGGCAUUGACGGUACUGUAUGAAUAAGCACCGGCUAACUCCGUGCCAGCAGCCGCGGUAAUACGGAGGGUGCAAGCGUUGUCCGGAUUUAUUGGGUUUAAAGGGUGCGCAGGUGGUUUAUUAAGUCAGUGGUGAAAGACGGUCGCUCAACGAUUGCAGUGCCAUUGAAACUAGUAGACUUGAGUAAAGUAGAGGUGGGCGGAAUUGAUAGUGUAGCGGUGAAAUGCAUAGAUAUUAUCAAGAACUCCAAUUGCGUAGGCAGCUCACUUGGCUUUUACUGACACUCAUGCACGAAAGUGUGGGUAUCAAACAGGAUUAGAUACCCUGGUAGUCCACACUGUAAACGAUGAUAACUAGGUGUCGGCCGAAUCUGGUCGGUGCCACAGCGAAAGCGUUAAGUUAUCCACCUGGGGAGUACGCCGGCAACGGUG